CGGAGGAUCCAAGCGUUAUCCGGAAUCAUUGGGUUUAAAGGGUCCGUAGGCGGGUUUAUAAGUCAGUGGUGAAAGCCCAUCGCUCAACGAUGGAACGGCCAUUGAUACUGUAGAUCUUGAAUUAUUAGGAAGUAACUAGAAUAUGUAGUGUAGCGGUGAAAUGCUUAGAGAUUACAUGGAAUACCAAUUGCGAAGGCAGGUUACUACUAAUGGAUUGACGCUGAUGGACGAAAGCGGUGGGUAGCGAACAGGAUUAGAUACCCUGGUAGUCCACGCCGUAAACGAUGGAUACUAGCUGUUCGGAGCAAUCUGAGUGGCUAAGCGAAAGUGAUAAGUAUCCCACCUGGGGAGUACGUUCGCAAGAAUG
rnacentral:rRNA from 1 species